ACGGAAUAGAUACCCCGGUAGUCCAUGCCGUAAACUAUGGAUACUAGCUGUUGGGGGUAUCGACCCCUCCAGUAGCGAAAGCUAAACGCGUUAAGUAUCCCGCCUGUGGAGUACGAUCGCAAGAUUAAAACAUAAAGGAAUUGACGGGGACCCGCACAAGCGGUGGAGCGUGUUCUUUAAUUCGAUGCUAAACGAAGAACCUUACCAGGGCUUGACAUCCCUUGAAUUACUCCGAAAGGAGUGAGUGCUUUAUUGAGCAAGGUGACAGGUGAUGCAUGGCCGUCGUCAGCUCGUGUCGUGAGAUGUUUGGUUAAGUCCAUCAACGAGCGCAACCCUUAUACUUAGUUGUAUUUUUCUAGGUAGACUGCCCCGGUAACGGGGAGGAAGGGGGGUAGUGAUGUCAGGUCAGUAUUUCCCUUACCGUCCUCGGGCGUAGAAACGCGCUACAAUGGCCGGUACAAUGCGGAGCUAAAUACGCGAGAUGGAGCAAAUCGCAUCAAACGACC
rnacentral:rRNA from 1 species